rnacentral:rRNA from 1 species
CCUACGGGAGGCAGCAGUGAGGAAUAUUGGUCAAUGGACGGAAGUCUGAACCAGCCAUGCCGCGUGCAGGAAGACGGCUCUAUGAGUUGUAAACUGCUUUUGUACAAGGGUAAACCUGAAUACGUGUAUUCCGCUGAAAGUACUUUACGAAUAAGGACCGGCUCACCCCGUGCCAGCAGCCGCGGUAAUACGGAGGAUCGAAGCGUUAUCCGGAUUUAUUGGGUUUAAAGGGUGCGUAGGUGGAUUGAUAAGUUAGAGGGGAAAUGGCCGAGCUUAACUCGGGAACGGCCUCUAAUACGGUUGGGCUAGGGAGUAGAUGCGGUAGGCGGAAUGUAUGGUGUAGCGGUGAAAUGCUUAGAGAUCAUACAGAACACCGAUUGCGAAGGCAGCUGACCAAUAUAUAUCUGACGUUGAGGCACGAAAGCGUGGGGAGCAAACAGGAUUAGAUACGUAGUC